UACGUAGGCAGCGAGCGUUGUUCGGAAUUACUGGGCGUAAAGAGUGUGUAGGCGGUGCUCUAAGUUCGGUGUGAAAUCUCCUGGCUCAACUGGGAGGGUGCGCCGAAUACUGAAUGACUUCGAGUGCGGGAGAGGAGAGUGGAAUUCCUGGUGUAGCGGUGGAAUGCGCAGAUAUCAGGAGGAACACCGGUGGCGAAGGCGGGUCUCUGGGCAGUAACUGACGCUGAGGAGCGAAAGCGUGGGGAGCGAACAGG
rnacentral:rRNA from 1 species